UUGAACGCUGGCGGCAGGCCUAACACAUGCAAGUCGAGCGGAUGAAGGGAGCUUGCUCCUGGAUUCAGCGGCGGACGGGUGAGUAAUGCCUCGGAAUCUGCCUGGUAGUGGGGGAUAACGUCCGGAAACGGGCGCUAAUACCGCAUACGUCCUGAGGGAGAAAGUGGGGGAUCUUCGGACCUCACGCUAUCAGAUGAGCCUAGGUCGGAUUAGCUAGUUGGUGGGGUAAAGGCCUACCAAGGCGACGAUCCGUAACUGGUCUGAGAGGAUGAUCAGUCACACUGGAACUGAGACACGGUCCAGACUCCUACGGGAGGCAGCAGUGGGGAAUAUUGGACAAUGGGCGAAAGCCUGAUCCAGCCAUGCCGCGUGUGUGAAGAAGGUCUUCGGAUUGUAAAGCACUUUAAGUUGGGAGGAAGGGCAGUAAGUUAAUACCUUGCUGUUUUGACGUUACCAACAGAAUAAGCACCGGCUAACUUCGUG
rnacentral:rRNA from 1 species